CGUCAUUAUAUAGGGGGAUCGAAUUGUUGCCAGCCAAUCAGCUGGCAGCUCUGCGGACGUUCACUUCCGGGGUCGGUGCUGGAGCGUGUGAGGCGUCUUGAGGCCCGCUGACCGAUGUGUAGUUUCCAGAUGACAUAAGAUGCAAUCUGCACUGUGUAGGAGAGUGGUCCGAUUCAGUUCCCAAUCUUUCCAAGUAACCACUUCUGUAAAUCCUCGCCAGGACUGCUUGUCCAAGAGUGACACAUAGAAGCUCCUUGUCUGAGGAACCCUCAAGUGAAAUUGGAAGGCAGAGGGGAAGAAGCUGUUCGUGAAUCAUUGAUUGAAUGCCUUCAGGCUCCUGUACCUCCUUCCUGAUGGUAACAAUGAGAACAAGGCAUCUGUGGAAACAUCAACGGUUCUUGCAAUGGCAUCUCAUGUCACUAGAGAACACACAGAACCAGAGUGGAAGCAAAUCAUCUUCGAUCCCAAGGUUGACAGCUGGCUGACGUUAUUUUUGGUUUGCUGCUGGCGGCAAAUUUAAGUUUAGCGUUUUUCAUAAACACAAGAAGGACUCAAAUAGACGUUGAGUAUUUUACUUAAAAGUAACCUUCAACCCAAC